rnacentral:rRNA from 1 species
GGGGAAUAUUGGACAAUGGGCGAAAGCCUGAUCCAGCAAUGCCGCGUGUGUGAAGAAGGCCUGCGGGUUGUAAAGCACUUUCAGCAGGGAAGAACAGCGCAGGGCUAAUAUCCCUGUGUCCUGACGUCACCUGAAGAAGAAGCACCGGCUAACUCCGUGCCAGCAGCCGCGGUAAUACGGAGGGUGCGAGCGUUAAUCGGAAUUACUGGGCGUAAAGCGCACGUAGGUGGCUUGGUAAGUCGGAUGUGAAAGCCCUGGGCUCAACCUGGGAACUGCACCCGAAACUGCCUGGCUAGAGUAAGGGAGAGGGAAGCGGAAUUUCCGGUGUAGCGGUGAAAUGCGUAGAUAUCGGAAGGAACACCAGUGGCGAAGGCGGCUUCCUGGCCCAUUACUGAUACUGAGGUGCGGAAGCGUGGGGAGCAAAC